GAAAAUGUGGUAGCUGCUCUGUCCUCGAGGCUGGAUGCUGCUGGAUGCUCUGAUUGCCCCAGAUGCUCUCAAUCUGGAGCUGAUUACAUGAAGGAUCCCAGGAGAGUCACACGGUCUUCAUUCCAUGGUGGAAGACUGAGGAAGCUGGAUUCCAGGAUCAGCAAAGGAUGGCCCCAGCAACAGAGUGGAUGCUGAUACCAGCAAUGAGUGAAGGUAUGGCAUUUAAAAUGGUUUAUGGGAUUUCAUGACAGACACAACUGCUCCUGGCACACCAAUUACAUCUGAGAGGAAGAUGGGCAUUGAAGAAACUUGCUAUGGAGUUUGCCGUUGACAUGGCAAGAUGAUCCAUUUGGUCAAGAUUCUUGGUAGCAGCAUUUUUCUCAGAAAACGAAAAGCUGUGGAUUCCUUCCAGACUUCUAUGGUUUCAUAGAAGCAAGACC